GCCUCGGAGUCCACGAGCACGAGUCCGUCGCCCUCGCCGUCGACGUCUGAGUCGGCGCCCAGCGCCUCGCCGUCGCCGUCCCGGUC
rnacentral:tRNA from 1 species